rnacentral:rRNA from 1 species
GACGAACGCUGGCGGCGUGCUUAACACAUGCAAGUCGAACGGAAAGGCCCUGCUUUUGUGGGUGCUCGAGGGGCGAACGGGUGAGUAACACGUGAGUAACCUGCCCUUGACUUUGGGAUAACUUCAGGAAACUGGGGCUAAUACCGGAUAGGAGCUCCUGCUGCAUGGGGGGGGGUGGAAAGUUUCGGCGGUUGGGGAUGGACUCGCGGCUUAUCAGCUUGUUGGUGGGGUAGUGGCUUACCAAGGCUUUGACGGGUAGCCGGCCUGAGAGGGUGACCGCCCACAUUGGGACUGAGAUACGGCCCAGACUCCUACGGGAGGCAGCAGUGGGGAAUAUUGCACAAUGGGCGGAAGCCUGAUGCAGCAACGCCGCGUGCGGGAUGACGGCCUUCGGGUUGUAAACCGCUUUCGCCUGUGACGAAGCGUGAGUGACGGUAAUGGGUAAAGAAGCACCGGCUAACUACGUG